rnacentral:lncRNA from 8 species
UGGAAGCUCCCAGGACUACAGAGACACAUUAUACUACAGGACUACAGACAGACAGACAUUAUACUACAGGACUACAGACAGAGACAUUAUACUACAGGACUACAGACAGACAGACAUUAUACUACAGGACUACAGACAGACAGACACAUUAUACUACAGGACUACAGACAGACACAUUAUACUACAGGACUACAGACAGACAGACACAUUAUACUACAGGACUACAGACAGACAGACAUUAUACUACAGGACUACAGACAGAGACAUUAUACUACAGGACUACAGACAGAGACAUUAUACUACAGGACUACAGACAGACAGAGACAUUAUACUACAGGACUACAGACAGACAGAGACAUUAUACUACAGGACUACAGACAGACAGAGACAUUAUACUACAGGACUACAGACAGACAGACACAUUAUACUACAGGACUACAGACAGACAGACAGAGACAUUAUACUACAGGACUACAGACAGUAGAGAUAUUAUACUACAGGACUACAGAGAGUAGAGAUAUUAUACUACAGGACCACAGACAGAGACAUUAUACUACAGGACUACAGACAGACAGACACAUUAUACUACAGGACUACAGACAGAGACAUUAUACUACAGGACUACAGACAGACAGAGACAUUAUACUACAGGACUACAGACAGACAGACAGAGACAUUAUACUACAGGACUACAGACAGAGCAGAGACAUUAUACUACAGGACUACAGACAAAGACAUUAUACUACAGGACCACAGACAGAGACAUUAUACUACAGGACUACAGACAGAGCAGAGACAUUAUACUACAGGACUACAGACAGAGACAUUAUACUACAGGACUACAGACAGAGACAUUAUACUACAGGACUACAGACAGAGACAUUAUACUACAGGACUACAGACAGACAGACAGAGAUAUUAUACUACAGGACUACAGACAGACAGAGACAUUAUACUACAGGACUACAGACAGACAGACACAUUAUACUACAGGACUACAGACAGAGACAUUAUACUACAGGACUACAGACAGACAGAGACAUUAUACUACAGGACUACAGGACUACAGACAGACAGACACAUUAUACUACAGGACUACAGACAGACAGAGACAUUAUACUACAGGACACAGACAGACAGAGACAUUAUACUACAGGACUACAGACAGACAGACACAUUAUACUACAGGACUACAGACAGACAGAGACAUUAUACUACAGGACUACAGACAGACAGAGACAUUAUACUACAGGACUACAGACAGACAGACACAUUAUACUACAGGACCACAGACAGACAGACACAUUACACUACAGGACUACAGACAGAGACAUUAUACUACAGGACUACAGACAGACAGACACAUUAUACUACAGGACUACAGACAGAGACAUUAUACUACAGGACUACAGACAGACAGACAGAGACAUUAUACUACAGGACUACAGACAGACACAUUAUACUACAGGACUACAGACAGACAGACACAUUAUACUACAGGACUACAGACAGACAGAGACAUUAUACUACAGGACUACAGACAGAGACAUUAUACUACAGGACUACAGACAGACAGACAUUAUACUACAGGACUACAGACAGACAGACACAUGA